rnacentral:rRNA from 1 species
GAUGAACGCUGGCGGCGUGCCUAAUACAUGCAAGUCGAGCGAACGGACGAGAAGCUUGCUUCUCUGAUGUUAGCGGCGGACGGGUGAGUAACACGUGGAUAACCUACCUAUAAGACUGGGCUAACUUCGGGAAACCGGAGCUAAUACCGGAUAAUAUUUUGAACCGCAUGGUUCAAAAGUGAAAGACGGUCUUGCUGUCACUUAUAGAUGGAUCCGCGCUGCAUUAGCUAGUUGGUAAGGUAACGGCUUACCAAGGCAACGAUGCAUAGCCGACCUGAGAGGGUGAUCGGCCACACUGGAACUGAGACACGGUCCAGACUCCUACGGGAGGCAGCAGUAGGGAAUCUUCCGCAAUGGGCGAAAGCCUGACGGAGCAACGCCGCGUGAGUGAUGAAGGUCUUCGGAUCGUAAAACUCUGUUAUUAGGGAAGAACAUAUGUGUAAGUAACUGUGCACAUCGUGACGGUACCUAAUCAGAAAGCCACGGCUAACUACGUG